rnacentral:rRNA from 1 species
AUGGCCAGUGCCAAAAGACUUGCGCAAUUGGCAAAUAAGUGGAGGGUUGAAGCACUUGGGAGGAAGAGGCUCACAAUGUCAGCCAAAGAAGACCGAGACUGCUGCAGUUCUAUACCGGCCAAGGGCCACUGUGUCAUGUACACAGCCGAUGGGAGGCGUUUCAAGGUCCCGUUGGAGUACCUCAGCACGAUGGUCUUCGGCGAGCUCCUGAGGAUGUCUCAGGAGGAAUUUGGCUUUGCAAGCGAUGGGAAGAUCACACUGCCUUGUGAUGCCGGAGUGAUGGAGUAUGUCAUGUCCCUGCUUAGGAGAAACACCUCUGCCGGCGUCGAGAGUACAUUGCUGAGCUCUAUGGUGACAUCUUGCCACUACACCGGCCAUAUGAUGCCUACUGUUGGAGCUAGUCAACAAAUUUGUUGUUUGUAG